UGCAAACAAAGAAGAAAUAACUCAUUAAGUGGUGAACCUCUGACCCUGGAUCAAAGUCACUGACCUGAUGCUACAGUAGCCUUUGCCUUUACUGUGGAGGCUGUGAGCCGAGUGAGAACUGGCCCACAACUGCCUCCACAGCUCCUGUCACUGAGGCUUUAUAUGGCUGCCUGCAGCUGUGGAGAGCUUGAUGCUCCUGUGAGAUCAUGUGAUGCUUGAAUUAAAAAUUUCCAGGUACUGUACAAACAAAAGAGAAAAGGAUCUGCCCAAAUCUCCUGCUGUUGGCUGCCGGUGAGGUCCCAACCCUGCAAGGUGCCAGCCAUGCUGGUAGGGGAUUGAUAAGAAGACUGGGGCGUCCUGGGAACUGAGGAUUUCAAGGUCAAUUGGUCAUGUCUGCUGUCUGGAACAGCCCCAGCAUUGCCAUUAUCUAUCCCCCAAUGAACCUGUUGGUGGCUGCAGCUACUGGAGGUUGGGAGCUUGGGCAUCCAAGCUUAAGUACCCAAUAGACCUCUCCAGACAUCCUGGUGAACAAAUGUCAAAAUGCCAUGCAUAUGUGGGCAUAAGUUUGACUGUUUAAAAGGUAGAGUCUAAUCCCAAAUGGUAACUAGAUAUGAGUUGCAUUAGAGACCCCUUGGAGCCCAGGAGGAGUUUGUAAGAUGGUGGGUGUUGAAGCUAUUAUGAGAUGAUGGUGUUUCCAGAGACAUAAUGGGGAUCAAGGGGAGCCAACAGAGACAAAGACCCUCAUUGUUCACAUCUCAGCCUUGGAUUCAUCUUACCCAUCUUAUUGGUUAUGUUGUUAACAUAAGUAACUAGAGAUAUGAUGUUACUUGAGUCACUAGUGUGUGUUAGCAGGAAACCAGGGGCAUGCUGAUACUUGAAGUUCUUGUAGUUGACCCCUGACUCUGGGAUAAGAGUAAAACAUUCCUCAAAAACUCUCAUAUAAGUUAGAAUGACCAAGUGUAGACUGGAUGGCAUAGCUCUGUGUGGUAGAAGACUUAGUUCUCUUUUGGUUUUACGAGAAGAUGUUGCAAGAUGGAUAGUAUCAUCUCUGGUAAAUAAAAGUGUAUUUUUUCAUAAGACUCCCAUGUCAAUAAGUACAGAAUGCCAAAUUGCUUGUUGAAGGCAUUUGGGAAUGUGAAGGAAAGCUAGACCUUUCAAAGAAUUAAGACACAAAUCUUACUUUAAGCUUGGAUGAAAGAAUAUUUCUCUCUUUUCCACCUGUUUUUUUUUUUCCCCAAAUCUGUGUACUCUUAUCAAGAUAGAAAAUGUAACUUUUUGAUUGUUUUCUCAUCUUCUGCAGAAUGUAUGUCGUGAAGUGACUAGUAAUGUUAAACAAACUACCUGAUAUAAAUAGGUAGUUUCACAAUUUUUUUCCCAACUGAGUUAUUACAGGGAAAUGGUUGAGUAGUUUCUGAUUGUACAUUUAAAUAAUGUACAGAGAGCAGCUUGAAAAAUUCACUCUUAACUAGUAAAAUUUGCUGACAUUGUAAGCAAGGGAUAGACUUAUAAUAAGAUAAUACAUUUUUUUUCUUGCAACAUAACAAAAAUAGAACUGAAAUGGAAGUUAUUGUAGAGGGAGAGAAGUAGAAUAUGUAUCAGAAUCACUGCUUCUAUAAAUGGUGAAAAAUAUGCAAAAUCAUACUUAGGUGUGAUCUGUUAUUGCAUCAAUAUCCGACAUGGAAUAUAAAAAAUGGCUUUUAUAAAACUUUUCUUAUAAAAGUUUUCUGUGACUUUUUUUUUCUUCCAUUCAAAUUGCUGUGGAUACAGAUCUUAUAACGGGGUGGGGAGGUUUGAUUUUGAGGGGUACCUAAAGUCGUGUAGGUACUGAUAUGAGUGACCCUGAGAUUAGCUCAGUUAGGUGGAGCAUGGUGCUAAAAACACCAAGUGUGAGGCUGCACAAACAUCUGGCGUUGCCCCAUCCCAGGACAGAAUCCAGCAUUUCCCCUUUUUGAACUUCAUAUGGUUGGUAAUUGCCCAGUCUUCUAAUUUGUUGAGGUCUGUCUGUAGGGCCUCCCUGCCUUCGAAGGAGUCAACAGCUCCUCCCGGUUUUCUGUCAUCUGCAAACUUGCUUAGUGCCCCUUCCAGUUUGACAUAUAUUCAAAAGAGAUUAGAAAGUUUUCAAUUGGUGAAUUUUCUAAAUUUUGUGUAAACAUCUAGUAAGAACAUUAAGGCGUCUAACCAAAUGCUUAAUGCCGUAAUGUCAAGAACUCCCUAAACUGCAGACUACUGAAAGUUAAGAAAAUUCAGGAAAGAAGUAUGAUCUUUAAUACAUCAGUCUUUUCAUCUCUACUGUACUGUGUCUAUUUGAGAUAGAAGGGGUUUUUUUGGUUGAUUGGUUGGUUUUGGUUUUUUUUUCAGUAGCAGGCUAUAUGGUGUUUUGAAUUUGUGAUUGAAACACUGUUGGCAACACACUAAUGUUUUGGCUAUUGCUGUGUAUUUCUUGCCCAUUAUCAAGGUUUUCUCUUUUUCUCACUCUCUUCCCUCAACUUCU